rnacentral:rRNA from 1 species
CCUACGGGUGGCAGCAGUCGAGAAUCAUUCACAAUGGGGGAAACCCUGAUGGUGCGACGCCGCGUGGGGGAAUGAAGGUCUUCGGAUUGUAAACCCCUGUCAUGUGGGAGCAAAUUAAAAAGAUCGUACCACAAUAGGAAGAGACGGCUAACUCUGUGCCAGCAGCCGCGGUAAUACAGAGGUCUCAAGCGUUGUUCGGAAUCACUGGGCGUAAGGCGUGCGUAGGCUGUUUCGUAAGUCGUGUGUGAAAGGCGCGGGCUCAACCCGCGGACGGCACGUGAUACUGCGAGACUAGAGUAAUGGAGGGGGAACCGGAAUUCUCGGUGUAGCAGUGAAAUGCGUAGAUAUCGAGAGGAACACUCGUGGCGAAGGCGGGUUCCUGGACAUUAACUGACGCUGAGGCACGAAGGCCAGGGGAGCGAAAGGGAUUAGAUACCCGAGUAGUC